GUGGAAACUCAAGUACACUCGACUUUACGUCAAGUUGAUAGCUGAGAGCGGUUAAAUGAUUUGACUGAUUUGACUAAAUUUUCAUCUAACGGCUCUUAACCAUCAAUUUCAUGUGAAAUUGACUGCAAAU